AUCGAACGCUGGCGGCAGGCCUAACACAUGCAAGUCGAACGAGUGGCGGACGGGUGAGUAAUGUCUGGGAAACUGCCCGAUGGAGGGGGAUAACCACUGGAAACGGUCGCUAAUCCCGCAUUCCAUCGGUUGUGCCCAGAUGGGAUUAGCUAGUAGGUGGGGUAACGGCUCACAUAGGCGACGAUCCCUAGCUGGUCUGCGAGGAUGACCAGCCACACGGGAACUGAGACACGGGCCAGACUCCUACGGGAGGCAGCAGUGGGAAAGAUUGCACAAUGGGCGCAAGCCUGAUGAAGCCAUGCCGCGUGUAUGAAGAGGGCCUUCGGGUUGUAAAGUACUUUAAGCGAGGAGGCGUUACUCGCAGAAGAAGCACCGGCUAACUCCGUGCCAGCAGCCGCGGUAAUAC
rnacentral:rRNA from 1 species